GGCUCUGAACCAGGACUCAUGCCCACACUCUAAGGCAAUCACUCUCAAGACCCCUGAGUGACACUCUUAGGAGAAAAUCAUCGACUCAGUGGUGGGCAAGUACAAGGCUCCAAUACUCAAGAUCAAACAGUCACAGGACAGCAGGAACAAAGUCAUCUGAAGGAGAGACAAGAAGGGAAGGCAAGAAUGGCAGAGACCACUUCCAUCUCUCUCUUUCCAAGCUGUGGGAAAAGCCUGCCAGCUUGUUACCCAUCCGACUUGUGAAGAAAGCUGAGAUAAAUUCUUUGCAGGACCGUGGAAAACAACCAUGGGCAGGGUGGGGAACCAGAUACCAUCCAUGUAGUACAACAGCUGACCAGACACAGGACUGUGGGCAAACCAGCCGUGCACAGCCCUGAAUGGAGCAAGAGCCUGUGAGGGCUUCCCAGGAGCACCCUGCAAUGAGAUAAGAGGACAGCAGUCACUUUCACCACUGCCAUCUAUGCCGCCAUCUUUGCCUUUCAUCUGCACAGCACUUCCUGGGGGGGGGGCGGAAGGGAUGCGGAGAAACAAAGGCCCCCAUCUACCUCACCUCCACCCCAAAAAUCUUGUACCAGGGAAAAUCAUGACUCUCCUGGGAACACCCUGGCACUCACAGCCUGGUUCAAAGGUACUUGGCUGCUCAGUGGCAGCCAAAUUAUAAACAAGCACUGGAAUACAGAGCAAUUGAGGAAUCCAAGGAUGUGAAUGGACAAACUAUAUACAUCUUGGACCACAGAUCAGAAGUGGAGAACAGUGGACCUGGUUCCAGGAAGACAGGAUGAAUCCAGCUGUCACAGUGGUCACAUGAAAAGGGCCGAAUCCUCUGCUAUAUGUGAACCAGCUGUGGCAAAGGAGAGAGGGUGGGAUAUGGAAGUCAUGGAGGGAAGACUGGGAAGGGGGAAUAACAUUCGAAAUGUAAACAAAUAAAAUGAUUCAUAAAU
rnacentral:lncRNA from 1 species